rnacentral:rRNA from 1 species
AUGACAAGACGGCCGAAAACUGCUUCUGAAGACGCUUCCAUGACGGAAACCGGCAACGAUGACACAGAACCUCUACAGCAACCAGAAGUCAUGAUUUACGACAUCCCCUCAUCAAUGUUUCCAAGCAUCAAAGAAGUGGAUGCCCCAACACAAACAUCUAAUGUAGCUUCGUGGGACGACAUUCCCUCUUCAAUGUUGCCAACAAUCAAAGAAGUAAAUGCACGAAUACAAUCAUUAUAUAAUGAUGAUCACGGUAAUGAUGAAGUAAUAUGUGAGAGAAAUGCAAUCAUCAAAGUGGUAGAUGCACCAACACAAUCAAUUUACAAUGAGGAUCACGGUAAUGAUAAAGUCAUAUUUGAAGAAGACACAAACGAGUAUGAAUACAUGUUUUCGGGUCAAGAAUGGGAAAGAGAAGUGGAAACCGAAAUCACAGAAGAUGAUGAAUUUCACAACUCCGACCCGUAUGAUUUCGUCUAUAGCAACAUACCGAAGAACACACAUGUGCUCAAAACGGUACCAAAUUGCAGCUUCUGCCAUGCAACAAAAUUCAAGAAUGAAACUAAGGGGCUAUGUUGCAGAAAAGGAAAGAUAAGACUAGCCAAUCCAGAUACACCACCUGAGCUCAAGAGACUUUGGACAAGCAACGACUCUGAUGCAAGACAUUUUCGGAACAAUAUAAGAUUUUUCAAUGGACACUUCUCGUUUACUACUUUAUACUGCAACCUUGAUAAAGAAACAACCGACAUACGAACAUCUGGUAUAUACACGUUUCGAGCACAUGGUCAAAUCUACCAUAAUAUACACUCAUUCGGUAACAGUCACUCAGAUCCAAAGCAUCUGGAGCUAUACUUCUACGAUGAUGAUCCAAGCUUGGAGCAUCGGUACCGCCGUUGCCGCGAGGAAAUGUACGAGCAAGACAAGCAGGUGAUUCGAAUAAUAACCGACAUUCUACGCGAUAACCCAUACUCUCAACAGUUUAGGAGUUUGGGACAAGCCCAGAACCUUGAGGACUAUAGACUCAUAUUGAACCUUGACCAAAGAUUGGACCAGAGAACUUACAAUGCACCAAUCAAUUCAGAGGUAGCUGCAGUGUGGAUUGAAGGAAAUGAAAGAAGAGAUACUUAUGACAAGAGUGUAAUACUACAUGGGAACAACAACGAAAUAGAGCACAUUCGAUCAUAUUAUGGGUGUUAUGAUCCAUUGUCGUACCCUUUGUUCUUUCCAAGAGCUGAGCUGGGUUGGCAUAGGAAAAUCCCAAAGAAGGAUACACGAGAGGAAGGUAUUGAUGCUGAUGAUAUCAAUGAUGAUGAUGAACCGGGCAAGGACUCCUACCCAAUAUAUAGGAGACGCAAUGACGGUCAGACUAAAACGGUCCGAAAUUGCAAACUGGAUAACAGGUGGGUGGUUCCUUACAACCCUUAUCUAUUAAGGAUGUUCAACUGCCACAUAAAUGUUGAGAUAUGCUCAAGCAUUAAAGUCGUUAAGUACCUAUUCAAGUACAUCUACAAGGGUCAUGAUCGAGCAUCUGUAUCUGUAACUGACAAAGCAAAUGAAGCCGAAAUCGACGAGAUUCAACAAUACCGAGACGCACGCUGGGUGACGCCACCAGAAGCACUGUGGAGAAUAUAUGGCUUCGAACUAAGCAAAAUGCACCCGCCAGUCUUGCAACUACAGCUGCAUCUCCCAAAUAUGCACAUGGUUUCAUAUCAUGGCAAAGAAAAAAUAAAGAAUGUUAUCGACCGUGAAGGCACAGAUAUAUCAAUGUUGACAGCAUACUUUCAUGCAAACAGCUUACAUGAGAAAGCACGAGGCAUACUAUACAGAGACUUCCCGGAAUAUUAUACUUGGCAAACACGCGGGAAGUUUUGGCAAGAGAGAAAACGGGCCGCUCUGUUCCAGGUUGGCAGAAUCGUCUCAGCACACCCGGCUGAAGGAGAACGAUACUAUCUUCGAGUUCUCCUAAACCAUGUGACAGGCGCCACCAGCUACGAAGACCUAAGAACAAUUGAAGGACAACUAAUGCCAACCUUCCGUGAAGCUGCAGAAAAACGGGGGCUCAUUGAGGCAGACAACACAUUGGAUGAUUGCAUGACAGAAGCGGAGUUGUUUCGAAUGCCAUCAUCGCUACGAAGGCUAUUCGCGACAAUCCUGGUGUUUUGCGAGCCUAGCAACGUCCGUAGCCUCUGGAACAAACACCUUGAGUCAAUGUCAGAAGACUACAACAGAAACUGCAAAUACAAGCACACGGUCGAACAGAUGGUGCUUAGAAAUAUCAGAGACAUGUUGCACUCAAUGGGAAAAGACAUAAAAUCAUUUCCUCUUCCAGAGAUCGAGAAACAACAUGAGACGGCAGACGACGUACCUAGGGAGAUCAUCGAGGAGACCUCAAUCGAGGUGGACCCGGAGGACGCAACUUUACAUAGAAACCUAAACAACGAGCAGAGAAAGGCCUAUGAUGAAAUCUUACACGCAAUUGACCGCCAAAGAGGAGGCUUAUUCUUUGUCGAUGGACCGGGAGGCACAGGAAAAACUUUUCUUUACAGGGCACUCUUGGCCACAAUACGCGGACAAGGCAAGAUUGCUGUGGCGACGGCCACUUCCGGUGUUGCUGCUUCCAUAAUGCCCGGAGGGAGGACCGCACACUCGAGGUUCAAGAUUCCACUAAAAAUAGAUGAUGGAGCUAUUUGUGGAUUCACAAAACAAAGUGGGACAGCCAAGCUACUCCAAGCAGCAUCACUAAUAAUCUGGGAUGAAGCAUCUAUGACUAAGAGGCAGACAGUGGAGGCGCUAGACAAAAGCAUGCGGGACAUAAUGGACAGACCAGAUCUUCCAUUCGGUGGAAAAACAGUCGUAUUUGGAGGAGACUUUAGGCAAGUGCUCCCCGUUGUUCGAAAGGGAACAAGAGCCCAGAUAGUAGAUGCAUCACUAUGCAGGUCCGAGCUCUGGAAUUCCAUGCGUCAAUUGAAGCUUGUGCACAACAUGAGGGCUCAAAAUGACAAGUGGUUCGCAGAAUACCUACUACGCAUUGGAAACGGAACCGAGGAGACAAAUGAUGAUAGUGAAAUACUUCUACCUGCAAGUAUAUGCAUGCCAAAUAAGACGGAUGAUAAUGGCCUGGAUAGACUCAUCAACAGUGUCUACGAAACGGACAAUGCUUCCCUAAAAGAUCCAAAAUACAUCACGUCAAGAGCAAUUUUAUCCACAAGGAACGACUCUGUAGACAGAAUAAACCUAAAAAUGAUUGAUCGCUUCAAAGGAGAGGAGAUGGUGUACCACAGCUUCGACUCUGUAGAAGACGACCCACAUAACUACUAUCCACCAGAAUUCCUAAACACCCUCACCCCAAAUGGACUGCCUCCACAUAUGCUAAAGCUGAAAAUAAAUUGUCCAAUCAUACUACUGAGGAAUAUUGACCCCGCUAAUGGACUCUGCAAUGGCACAAGAUUGGUCGUGCGUGGAUUCCAGAAAAAUGCAAUUGAUGCAGAGAUUGUAGUAGGGCAGCACUCUGGGAUGCGAGUUUUCUUGCCACGGAUACCAUUAUGCCCAUCUGACGACGACAUGUUCCCGUUCAAUUUCAAGAGGAAACAAUUUCCAGUGAGACUAAGUUUUGCAAUGACAAUAAACAAAUCGCAAGGUCAGACAAUACCAAAUGUCGGUGUCUACCUGCCUGAACCGGUUUUCUCACAUGGUCAACUAUAUGUCGCUCUUUCUAGAGCGACCUCGACAUCAAACAUAAAAGUAUUAACAGCAACACAUGAUGAGAACAAGGGGACGGAUAAGAAGAUCAGUGCAGGAGACACAGACACAAAGGAGAACAAAACGAAGGAGAAGAAGACGGGAAAUAAUAAGAAGAUCGGUACAAAAGGCACAAAUACAAAGAAGGACAAAAAGAGGAAUAAUCAAACAAUUAGUACAAACGGGGCAUACACAAAAAAUAUUGUCUACACAGAAGUCCUCACCAAAUAG